CGAAACAAUGAAAACCCACUUUUUUCCCCUGGUUUUUCUCCUCAUUUUUUCCUUAGCCCAAGGUCUGAACCCCAAAUGUGACAUCCAAGACCAUGGCUCAAACCUGCAAGUGUUCCAUGUUUACAGUCCAUGCUCACCCUUCAAACCCUCAAAACCACUCUCAUGGGAAGAGGAUGUGCUGCAAACGCUAGCCAAGGACCAAGCCAGGGUGCAGUUUUUGUCCAGCCUCGUGGCUAAGAAAUCUGUGGUGCCUAUAGCUUCAGGCAGGCAGAUUGUGCAAAGUCCAACUUACAUUGUGAAGGCCAAUAUUGGAACCCCACCUCAAACCAUGCUUAUGGCCAUGGAUACAAGCAGUGAUGCUGCUUGGGUGCCUUGCACUGGCUGCAUUGGCUGCUCUUCUACUGCUUUUGACUUUGCUAAAUCCACCACUUUCAAGACCCUUGGCUGCCAAGCUGCUCAAUGCAAGCAG
rnacentral:lncRNA from 1 species